rnacentral:rRNA from 1 species
CCAAGGAGUCUAACAUGUGCGCGAGUCAUUGGGACUUGUAAAACCUAAAGGCGUAAUGAAAGUGAAGGUCGACCUUGCGUCGACUAAGGGAGGAUGGGUUGUGUUACGAUGCAGCCCCGCACUCCCGGGGCGUCUCGUACUCAUUGCGAGUAGAGGCGCACCCAGAGCGUACACGUUGGGACCCGAAAGAUGGUGAACUAUGCCUGGUCAGGACGAAGUCAGGGGAAACCCUGAUGGAGGUCCGUAGCGAUUCUGACGUGCAAAUCGAUCGUCGGAACUGGGUAUAGGGGCGAAAGACUAAUCGAACCAUC